rnacentral:rRNA from 1 species
GACGAACGCUGGCGGCGUGCUUAACACAUGCAAGUCGAACGGAAAGGCCCUGCUUUUGUGGGGUGCUCGAGUGGCGAACGGGUGAGUAACACGUGAGUAACCUGCCCUUGACUUUGGGAUAACUUCAGGAAACUGGGGCUAAUACCGGAUAGGAGCUCCUGCUGCAUGGUGGGGGUUGGAAAGUUUCGGCGGUUGGGGAUGGACUCGCGGCUUAUCAGCUUGUUGGUGAGGUAGUGGCUUACCAAGGGUGUGACGGGUAGCCGGCCUGAGAGGGUGAUCGGCGACACGGGAGCGGGGACAGCCACCUGAGGACUACGGGACGGACCAGAAUGCAACGGGAGGCAACGGGGGGAAGUAUUACGCAGUAAGCCGGAGCCAGAGACGGAGGCGCCGCGUGCGGAAUGACGGCCUACGAGUUGUGAACAGCUUUCGACUGAAACGAGGCGAGAGUGACGGUAACGAAUAAGAAAGCACCGGCUAACUACGUG